AGUGAACGCUGGCGGUAGGCCUACACCAGCAAGUCGAACGGCCGCCCCAUAAGGGCCUGCCCCUAAGGGGGGCCAGGUGCCGGCGGGGUGGGGAAACCUCCGAAACUUCUUUUUUGGGGGGGAUUACGGUAGGAAAACUAAGGUAAUUACCCCUUAGAACCUACGGGUAAAGGCAGGGGAUUUUCGACCUUUGCGGGUUGGAUGGGGCGGAUGUCGGAUUAGCUAGUUGGCGGGGUAAAGGCCCACCAAGGCGACGAUCCGUAGCUGGUCUGAGAGGAUGAUCAGCCACACUGGAACUGAGACACGGUCCAGACUCCUACGGGAGGCAGCAGUGGGGAAUAUUGGACAAUGGGCGCAAGCCUGAUCCAGCCAUACCGCGUGGGUGAAGAAGGCCUUCGGGUUGUAAAGCCCUUUUGUUGGGAAAGAAAAGCAGCAGGUUAAUACCCCGCUGUUCUGACGGUACCCAAAGAAUAAGCACCGGCUAACUUCGUG
rnacentral:rRNA from 1 species